UCCGCCCAGCGUCUCGGAGGGACUGCCCGCGAGCGCUAUGGCGGCGGAUCAGCGAGGGAAGGCCGCGACUCUGGCCCUGAGGCGGCGGCUGCUCAGCAAUUCCUGCAGACUCUUUUUUCCUGAGGAUCCUAUUAAGAUUGUCCGGGGCCAAGGGCAGUACAUGUAUGAUGAACAGGGGGCAGAAUACAUCGAUUGCAUCAACAAUGUGGCUCACGUUGGGCACUGCCACCCUCUCGUGGUCCGAGCAGCACACGAACAGAACCAGGUGCUCAACACCAACAGCCGAUACCUGCACGACAACAUUGUGGAUUACGCGCAGAGGCUGUCAGAGACCCUGCCAGAGAAGCUCUGUGUGUUUUAUUUCCUGAAUUCUGGGUCAGAAGCCAACGACCUGGCCCUGAGGCUGGCACGCCAGUACACAGGACACUGGGAUGUGGUGGUAUUAGAUCAUGCUUAUCACGGUCAUCUGAGCUCCCUGAUUGACAUCAGCCCCUACAAGUUCCGGGACCUGGAUGGGCAGAAGGAGUGGGUCCACGUGGCACCUCUCCCAGAUACCUACCGGGGCCCCUACCGGGAAGACCACCCCAAUCCAGCUGUGGCCUACGCCAGUGAGGUGAAACGUGUGGUCAGCAGCGCACAGGAGAAGGGCAGGAAGAUUGCAGCGUUCUUUGCUGAAUCUCUGCCCAGUGUGGGAGGGCAGAUCAUUCCCCCUGCUGGCUACUUCCCAGAAGUGGCAGGGCACAUCCGCAGGGCCGGAGGGGUCUUUGUUGCAGACGAGAUUCAAGUGGGCUUUGGCCGAGUAGGCAAGCACUUCUGGGCCUUCCAGCUGCAGGGGGAAGACUUCGUCCCCGACAUUGUCACCAUGGGCAAGUCCAUAGGCAAUGGCCACCCUGUAGCCUGCGUGGCCACAACACAAGCUGUGGCAAGGGCAUUUGAAGCCACUGGCGUUGAGUACUUCAACACGUUUGGGGGCAGCCCAGUGUCCUGUGCUGUGGGGCUGGCCGUCCUGGAUGUCUUGGAGAAGGAGCAGCUGCAGGCUCACGCAGCCUGUGUGGGCAGCUUCCUGAUGGAGCUCCUUGGACAGCAGAAAGCCAAACAUCCCAUUCUUGGAGACAUCAGGGGUGUUGGGCUCUUCAUUGGUGUGGAUCUGAUCAAAGAUGAGGCCACAAGAAUGCCAGCAACCGAAGAGGCUGACUAUGUGGUGUCCAGCCCCAGGCUGCCUGAGAGAAGCCGCUUCUCCAGAGCCACAGCUGGGACUGUGGCAGAAGCAGACUCCCUACUGCUAGGUUUUCAGAUGGACUCCUGCUCCUCAUCUCGGCGGGGAGUGUCUGAGGACUCGGCAUCUUAAGACUCAGAAGCCCUCACCCCCGACCCUGGCUUGCAUGUUCACUUGAGCCCCAGGACCCUUCCCCUUCUUGUUUAGUUAUUCCCUUUUUUCUUCCAUUCUUUACUCCUACCCACUUCCCCCUCCUUGGAAAACCCAUCUAGUGUUUGAUGUGUAUUCUUAUUCAAGUUGUAAAAUGUGCAUCCAUUCUGUUUUGAAUUCAUACAAACUAUACUGAUGUAAAAAUCUCUCCACAUGGAUUUGGAGGCUGACCCCUCCUGCAUGGCCACCCAACCCUUGCCUUUCUGCUGAAGCACAUCCACCAGCUUGCCCACCAGUUCUCUCAGGGAGCCUCAGGACUCGGGAAUUCAGAAUGAUCUCUGGGAAAGAGGGAGCCAGCUCUUCAGCCAAGCCUGACUGCCUCCACUUUACAAGCACCCCUCUCUGCACCCACCCCCCAGCCCCGUGUAGUUUCUCCAGUUGAGUGAAAGCAGUGCCAGUGUUUCACCGGCAGUCACCCUGCUAGGAGGAGCCAGAGCUGGAUUUGAAGUCAGAACCUGGGCUUUCUAGCACGGCUGUUGUCAGUGCCAGGAAGACCGGGAUGGGAUAAGGGAGCCAGAGGCAGGCUGAGGACACUGUUCCUGAUAAGACUUACAUAAAAGUAAUACACUUUAAAAAUGAGAGCAGUGGGUCAGAGAAUGUAAAUAGUCACAUCAGACCCCUUCUCGAGAGGCCAAAAUACCUUCCUGGGUUAAAAGUAUAAAUGUGGACUAUUAAAAGUUAUUACUAGGUACCAAUGAUAAUGCUGAAGAGAGUAAAGUCAUCUUCCAAAAAGAACUGGAAAUUAAAACUGGAUAGUCCAGCCUGGAGUUACAAGAUAGUCUGGGUGCAGGGUAGAGAAGGGGGUGGCAGGAGUUACUGAAGCUAGGUUACAUGAAUUCACUGCACUAUUCUAUUUGUGAAUGCUGGACCCUUCCUAUGACAAAAAGUAAACCAUGCAGGACAUAAACCAUACGUCGAAAUGGAAAAAGCAGGGCAUCUUGACAUCCACAUUGUAGCCCCACGGCCAUUCUGUUUGGCUUACACUGGGCCUCUAGGGAUGGAUGAAGCAAGACCCCUGCUCUGGGGGCGGAGGUGGGGGGGUGGCAGCAGCCUCAGGGCACCUCAGAUGGGAAUGCUGUGCUUGUCUUUGAUGCUAGGCCACAGAGUUGGGCAGGAAUCUGGGUGGGGGUUGGCCAGUGCUGUUAUUUUGGUGGGAACUGGCUUAGGUGGGUUCUGAGAGCAGUGUGGCUGCCAACACCAGGCUGAGAAAUCUGAAGAUCUGUAUGGAGUGCCCUUGGCCGGUGGGCAGCAGGAUCUGCUGUGUCCUACCUUCACAGGCUUAAGGAGAACUACAUUUUGUUGAGCACCGACGGGCCUGGGAGGAAUGUACUAAAGUUUAAGCCCCCGAUGUGUUUCAGCUUGGACAACGCACGACACGUGGUAGCAAAGCUAGAUGCCAUCCUGACAGACAUGGAAGAGAAAGUGAGAAGUUGUGAGACCCUAAGGCUCCACUCCUGAGGCAGCCCUGCUGAGAGGUAUCUUCCUCUAGGUUUCACAACUUCGCUGGGAUAGAAUCCCGUUUUCAAUGGCAAGUCAACACAGGUGUUCCAGGGUGCUCCAGACUCCAACUGGCCUGGGCCAGCAUCCCCAUUCAAGGUGGUAACCCUCACUGUACUGUCUUCACCUCCUUGAACAACUGCCUCAAACCUCUGCCGCUCCACUUUCUUUAAAGCUGUGCAAGUCCUACGCAGGGCCAAGUCAUUAAAGGAAACUAACCAAAGACGAA